rnacentral:rRNA from 1 species
CCUACGGGAGGCAGCAGUGAGGAAUAUUGGUCAAUGGACGCAAGUCUGAACCAGCCAAGUAGCGUGCAGGAUGACGGCCCUAUGGGUUGUAAACUGCUUUUAUGUGGGAAUAAAUUGGCGCACGUGUGCGCCAUUGCAUGUACCUCAUGAAUAAGGACCGGCUAAUUCCGUGCCAGCAGCCGCGGUAAUACGGAAGGUCCGGGCGUUAUCCGGAUUUAUUGGGUUUAAAGGGAGUGUAGGCGGUCUGUUAAGCGUGUUGUGAAAUUUAGGUGCUCAACAUUUAACUUGCAGCGCGAACUGUCAGACUUGAGUACACGCAGCGCAGGCGGAAUUCAUGGUGUAGCGGUGAAAUGCUUAGAUAUCAUGAGGAACUCCGAUCGCGAAGGCAGCCUGCGGGAGUGUUACUGACGCUUAAGCUCGAAGGUGCGGGUAUCGAACAGGAUUAGAUACCCUGGUAGUCCGCACAGUAAACGAUGGAUGCCCGCCGUUGGCGCCCUGCGCCUGCGGCCAAGCGAAAGCAUUAAGCAUCCCACCUGGGGAGUACGCCGGCAACGGUGAAACUCAAAGGAAUUGACGG